AUAACAAUACACAAUCCACAAUAACACACAAAGCAAAACAACACAAUAACAAUGCACAAUACAAAAUAACACAAUAACAAUACACAAAGCAAAUUAACAAUACAAUAAGUUAUAAUCUACCCCAGUAAUAAACAAUAUGUGACCAUGGACAUCAAAAGAGUUAGAAAUGAACGAAAUUUGACCUUUAAAAACAAAGAUACAGUAACACUUGGGCAGACAGAAAAACGACUGAGAAUCAAAAUAAGAGAAGCAAAAUUAAAAAAUAAAUAAGAUUUAGAAAACACGUUUAAAGCUAACAAUUCAAAAAAGGUGUGGGACACCAUGAAAUCAAUGACAGGGAUGGUGUCACAAAACAAACCUAUUGUUACAACUUGAACAGUUAUUUCACAAGAUUUGAGUUAUCAGACAGUUUUGAGAAAUGUAAUCAAAUUCUUUCAAAUAUUCAUCUGGGACCUUCAGAUAAAAUUGAGAUCACUGUUGAUGAAGUUAGAAAAACAUAAAAAACAGUAAAAAAAAACAGAAGGACCAGAUAAAUGUCGUCUUUUUAUUUUAAAAACCUUUGCGGUAGAGAUGGCACCGGCCUGGCAACCAGUGUUUCAACUCUCAGUUGACACUCAACACAGUUCCAACAGGGUGGAAAACCUCACACAUAAAACCUCUGCUUAAAACUCAAUGUCCAAAAGAACACAGAGAUUUCAGACCCACAGCUCUGACCUUUGCGAUUAUGAAUGCUCUAGAAAGACUUCUGCUCAAACAUCUGCAAGCCUGCACUAAUGACAAACUAGAUCCAUCACAGUUUGCAUAUAGAACAGGCUGUGGCACUGAAGAUGCUGUGGCCACUGUGGUUUAUAUCAUCACAAAACAUCUUGAUAAACCACAUAACUAUACAAGAGCACUCUUUCUGGACUGUUCUUCAGCUUUCAACACAAUACAACCCAAUAUUCUACUUUCAAAAAUGUCCUAUCUGGGAGUGAACCCUUACCUGAUCCACUGGUUUGCCUCUUUUUUAACAAAUAGAGUCCAGUUGGUUAAGGUAAACAAGACCCUUUCUUCUGCCAUCUCAACCAACGUUGGUGCACCUCAGGGCUGCGUAAGUUCUGCAAUACUUUUCACUCUACACAUAGAUGAUCUCCGUUCAACUUUAAAUAACCAGUAUGUUUUGAAAUACUCUGACGAUACUGUUUUGCUGACAUUACUACAUGAUCAGAAAAUCCUGAUGUUCCCCAACAAGGCGUUAAUAAAGUGGUCACAUGGAGCAAAAACAACGCUCUGGAGAUAAACACAAAGAAAACCAAGGAAAUUAUGUUUAAUCCAAAACCAAUAAGGGUAAACUCCACAAUUGUCAAUAAUGAAACAGUCCAACAGAUGGAGUCAAAUAAAUAUCUUGGCAUCAUGACAGAUGCCACUCUAUUCUGGAAACAUCAUAUUGAUGACGUGUAAGAAAACCAAACAGAGGAUGUAUUUUCUCCGUCGUUUAAGAUCGUUUGGAGCUACAUGACAAAUACUCCUGCUGUUUUAUACUUCUGUUAUUCUCAGUGUACUGCAGUAUUGUAAUGCUGUGUGGUACAGCUGCCUGUCCACUUCUGUAAAAUCUGGACUGAAACACUUAUUAAAAAUCUGUUCAAAAAUUGUUGGUCAGCCUUUAGAGGGUCUGUAUGAGACCUCUUAUCACAACAAAACAAUAAGGCUGGCAAAAAACA